rnacentral:rRNA from 1 species
UUGGGCACUGUCUCAACGAGAGACUCGGUGAAAUCAUAGUACCUGUGAAGAUGCAGGUUACCCGCGACAGGACGGAAAGACCCCGUGGAGCUUUACUGUAGCCUGAUAUUGAAAUUCGGCACAGCUUGUACAGGAUAGGUAGGAGCCUUUGAAACGUGAGCGCUAGCUUACGUGGAGGCGCUGGUGGGAUACUACCCUAGCUGUGUUGGCUUUCUAACCCGCACCACUUAUCGUGGUGGGAGACAGUGUCAGGCGGGCAGUUUGACUGGGGCGGUCGCCUCCUAAAAGGUAACGGAGGCGCUCAAAGGUUCCCUCAGAAUGGUUGGAAAUCAUUCAUAGAGUGUAAAGGCAUAAGGGAGCUUGACUGCGAGACCUACAAGUCGAGCAGGGUCGAAAGACGGACUUAGUGAUCCGGUGGUUCCGCAUGGAAGGGCCAUCGCUCAACGGAUAAAAGCUACCCCGGGGAUAACAGGCUUAUCUCCCCCAAGAGUUCACAUCGACGGGGAGGUUUGGCACCUCGAUGUCGGCUCAUCGCAUCCUGGGGCUGUAGUCGGUCCCAAGGGUUGGGCUGUUCGCCCAUUAAAGCGGUACGCGAGCUGGGUUCAGAACGUCGUGAGACAGUUCGGUCCCUAUCCGUCGUGGGCGUAGGAAAUUUGAGAGGAGCUGUCCUUAGUACGAGAGGACCGGGAUGGACAUACCUCUGGUGUACCAGUUGUCGUGCCAACGGCAUAGCUGGGUAGCUAUGUGUGGAUGGGAUAAGUGCUGAAAGCAUCUAAGCAUGAAGCCCCCCUCAAGAUGAGAUUUCCCAACUUCGGUUAUAAGAUCCCUCAAAGAUGAUGAGGUUAAUAGGUUCGAGGUAGAAGCAUGGUGACAUGUGGAGCUGACGAAUACUAAUCGAUCGAAGACUUAAUCAAAA